rnacentral:rRNA from 1 species
UUUGAAAUCUGGUACCUUCGGUGCCCGAGUUGUAAUUUGUAGAGGGCGACUUUGGGGCGGCUCCUUGUCUAUGUUCCUUGGAACAGGACGUCAUAGAGGGUGAGAAUCCCGUGUGGCGAGGAGUGCGGUUCCGUGUAAAGCGCUCUCGAAGAGUCGAGUUGUUUGGGAAUGCAGCUCUAAGUGGGUGGUAAAUUCCAUCUAAAGCUAAAUAUUGGCGAGAGACCGAUAGCGAACAAGUACAGUGAUGGAAAGAUGAAAAGAACUUUGAAAAGAGAGUGAAAAAGUACGUGAAAUUGUUGAAAGGGAAGGGCAUUUGAUCAGACAUGGUGUUUUGCGCCCCCCGCUCCUCGUGGGUGGGGGACUCUCGCAGCUCACUGGGCCAGCAUCAGUUUUGGCGGCCGGACAAAACUGCAGGAACGUAGCUUGCUUCGGGAAGUGUUACAGCCUGCAGGAAUACGGCCAGCCGGGACUGAGGAAUGCGAUUCGUCAAGGAUGCUGGCAUAAU